GAGAGAUAGAGGAAGAGAGCUCUUGAGAAGAAGAAAACAUGGUGGGCAUUUCUCGUGAACAAGAAUCUUGGGUUUCUUCAAGGAACCUAAACCAAGAAGAGGAUCAAACAGAAACUUCACAUGUUCAAACAAACCUGGAUCAAAAUGAUGUUUUCUAUCAGGAAACUGAUGAAAUAUGGCAGAAAGUGAAUCAAACUGCCAUCAAGAACGACGAUGAUAGUAGUGGCAGAAGAAAUUUCAGCUCCAAAAGCAGGAGUAACAGCAAGAAAAAGAAGAACCAGGUGUUGCUAGAAGGGUAUGUAGAGGUAGCUAAUAAUGAGGAUGAUUUGAAGAGGACCAAGAGCUUGACAGAUGAUGAUCUUGACGAGCUUAAAGGGUGCUUAGAUCUUGGGUUUGGUUUCAGCUAUGAUGAGAUCCCUGAGCUCUGUAACACCUUGCCAGCUCUUGAGCUUUGUUACUCCAUGAGUCAGAAGUUUCUUGAUGAGCAGCAUAAGUCUCCCGAGAGAAGCUCUCCUACUGCUGCUGAAACUGCAUCCAGCCCUAUUGCUAACUGGAAGAUCUCUAGUCCUGGUGACCAUCCGGAAGAUGUUAAAGCAAGGCUCAAAUUUUGGGCACAGGCUGUGGCAUGUACUGUUAGAUUGUGCAGCUGAAAGACAUUUAAGAAUUGAGUGAUGAUUUAUUGACGUGAAAGAAAAUGGAUGCAUAUUUUCUCAGUGAUGGGAAAUCAAAAGCCUGGACUUUCAUAAAGAGUCUGUGCUCCACUAUCCAUUCCAGUGCAACUUGCAGGAAUCAAAGUGCCUGCACAUUCUUUAGCUGGGAAUGAACUGGCCUUCGGUAUUAUAAUAGAAGAAGGGACAAGCUUCAGGUUUGAAAUUAACCGAAUACUCUUAUGAGUUUGAAUUAAUAAAGCGGAGAUGAAGACUAUGAUUAUUGUAUUCGGUGCAUUCAAAAUAA
rnacentral:misc_RNA from 1 species